rnacentral:rRNA from 1 species
GGUUGGGGGUUGAUCCCGCCGGCCGGACUAAGCAUUAGCUUCCCCCUGGGAGUCGGUCCAAGCUGAAUCUAAGGAUGACGGGGCCCCCCAACCGGUGGACCUUUGGUUAUUUGCCCACGCGAAAACCUUCCCGGGCCUGAAGUCGAGGACAAUCGGUAAAGCCGACUUCCGCAAGGACGUCGUAGAGGUGCGCCAUGGCCGUCGUCAGCUCGGGCGUGAGAAGUUGGGUUAAGUCCCGCAACGAGCGCAACCCUUUUCGCUGUGCCAUCAGUUCGGCUGGGCACUCUGCGAAGACUGCCGGUGAUAAACCGGAGGAAGGUGGGGAUGACGUCAAGUCAGCAUGGCCUUUAUGUCCGGGGCUACACACGUGCUACAAUGGCCGGUACAAAGCGUCGCGAACCCGCGAGGGGGAGCUAAUCGCACAAAGCCGGUCUCAGUUCGGAUUGUAGGCUGCAACUCGCCUGCAUGAAGUUGGAAUCGCUAGUAAUCGCGGAUCAGCAUGCCGCGGUGAAUACGUUCCCGGGCCUUGUACACACCGCCCGUCACAUCACGAAAGCUGGCUGUACUAGAAGUCGCCGAGCUAACCCGCAAGGGAUGCAAGCGCUAACGUAUG